CACGUAGGGGGCAAGCGUUGUCCGGAUUUAUUGGGCGUAAAGAGCUCGUAGGUGGCUCGGUAAGUCGGGUGUGAAACCUCCAGGCUCAACCUGGAGACGCCACCCGAUACUGCUGUGACUGGAGUCCGGUAGGGGAGCGUGGAAUUCCUGGUGUAGCGGUGAAAUGCGCAGAUAUCAGGAGGAACACCAGCGGCGAAGGCGGCGCUCUGGGCCGGUACUGACACUGAGGAGCGAAAGCGUGGGUAGCAAACAGG
rnacentral:rRNA from 1 species